CAUGAAGCUGGAAUUGCUAGUAAUGGCAGGUCAGCAUACUGCCGUGAAUACGUUCCCGGGCCUUGUACACACCGCCCGUCACACCAUGAGAGUUAGGAAUACCCGAAGCCUGUGAGCCAACUUUAUAAGAGGCAGCAGUCGAAGGUAGAACUAAUGAUUGGGGUGAAGUCGUAACAAGGUAUC
rnacentral:rRNA from 1 species